CCGGAAUGCCGGAAUGAGUAGCGAGAGAAAGGUGAGAAUCCUUUCGGCCGAAUAUCCAAGGUUUCCAGGGUAAAGCUGAUCUGCCCUGGGUAAGUCGGGGCCUAAGGCGAGGCAGAAAUGCGUAGUCGAUGGACAGCAGGUUGAGAUUCCUGCACCCGUAAUGAACAGAACUGUAGUGACACGGAAGGUAAGACAGAGCCGGGAAUGAGAAAACCGGUGCAAGCACAAUAGAUGUGUGGGAGGAAAAUCCCCCGCAUAAGUCGAAGGUGUGACGCGGACCGAAAAAGAGUAGGGAAGCUGUUAAGCAAGCCGUCAAGAAAAGCUGCUAUUGUUUCAUUAUGGCCCGUACCGUAAACCGACACAGGUGGAUGGGGAGAGAAUCCUAAGGCCGGCGGAAGAAGUAUUGUUAAGGAACUCGGCAAAAUGACCCCGUAACUUCGGGAGAAGGGGUGCCUGCGAGAGCAGGCCGCAGAGAAGAGGCCCAAGCAACUGUUUAGCAAAAACACAGGUCUAUGCAAAACCGAAAGGUGAGGUAUAUGGGCUGACGCCUGCCCGGUGCUGGAAGGUUAAGGGGAGUGGUCAGGAAACGAAGCCACGAACUUAAGCCCCAGUAAACGGCGGCCGUAACAAUAACGGUCCUAAGGUAGCGAAAUUCCUUGUCGGGUAAGUUCCGACCCGCACGAAAGGCGUAAUGAUUUGGGCGCUGUCUCGACAAUACAUCCGGUGAAAUUGAAGUGCCAGUGAAGAUGCUGGCUACCUGCGCCAGGACGGAAAGACCCCAUGGAGCUUUACUCCAGCUUGAUACUGGGACCCGGUAUUGCAUGUACAGGAUAGGUGGGAGGCUAGGAAAUGUGGACGCCAGUCUGCAUGGAGCCGCUGUUGGGAUACCACCCUUGUGGUGCUGGGUUUCUAACCAGAGGCCGUGAACCGGUCUGGGGACAAUGUCAGGUGGGGAGUUUGACUGGGGCGGUCGCCUCCGAAAGGGUAUCGGAGGCGCCCAAAGGUUCCCUCAGAAUGGUUGGAAACCAUUCGAAGAGUGCAAAGGCAGAAGGGAGCUUGACUGCGACACCGACGGGUGGAGCAGGUACGAAAGUAGGGCUUAGUGAUCCGGUGGAAUUUAAGUGGGAAUGCCAUCGCUCAACGGAUAAAAGCUACCCUGGGAUAACAGGCUGAUCACUCCCAAGAGUUCACAUCGACGGAGUGGUUUGGCACCUCGAUGUCGGCUCAUCGCAUCCUGGGGCUGAAGUCGGUCCCAAGGGUUGGGCUGUUCGCCCAUUAAAGCGGUACGCGAGCUGGGUUCAGAACGUCGUGAGACAGUUCGGUCCCUAUCCGGCGUGGGCGUAGGAUAUCUGAGAGGAGCUGUCCUUAGUACGAGAGGACCGGGAUGGACUGACCUCUGGUGUACCGGUUGGCGAUCAACGCCACGGCCGGGUAGCCAUGUCGGGACGGGAUAAACGCUGAAGGCAUCUAAGCGUGAAGCCCCCCUCAAGAUGAGAUAUCCCAUCGUAAGAGUAAGACCCCUUGAAGACGACGAGGUUGAUAGGGCAGGGGUGGAAGUGCUGUAAGGCAUGGAGCUGACUGCUACUAAUCGGUCGAGGGCUUGACC
rnacentral:rRNA from 1 species